ACCGGGGCAUGAACCCGCGUCUCCUGCAUCGGCAGGCGGACUCUCAACCACUGCGCCACCAGGGAAGCCCUAUUGUUCCCAUUUUAAGGAUAAGGAAGCUGAGUCUCUGGAAGGUUGAGGUCUCACCCGAAGUCCCACACUGUUGGAACCAGGCUUAUAGAGAGGUAUUGGGAAGAGCCUUCCCUCUCUGCCAGGCUGCCUUUAAUAUCAGCUUGCAGAUCCCAAGAGCGGCAAUGAUUCAUUCAGCAGCUCCUCAGUCAUCAUCACAGGCCUGGUGUGGGGUGGCGAAGAGGGGAUGAACUUCAGGUGGGAAAUGCAGCUGGGGGAAGGGACAGAGGUGUGUUGCCAUGAGGUCAGGCCCCGAGUCCUCAGAAAGGCAGGAAGUUAAAUACCAAAUAGCCAACUUCCAAAACAAAGGAUCCUCACAGAGUCCAAGAUGGGUGCUCUGGUUGGCAGGCAGCCUUCCCCUAAGGAGAGGUUCAGGCACCCAGGCUCCUUCCAUCUUGUGGGUCUGCCAUCUCCUAAAUCACGAGGUCAUGGCAGAAGGGAAAAUAGAGGUAGAUGGGGCACACCUGCUUCUUAACAUCCUCAGCCCAGAAGAGAGAUAGAGUGCCUCUGUUCAUGCUCUACCAGCUUGAUGGCAAAGGAGAUGGAAAUGGAGUCCAGGGAGUACCCAGGAAGAGGAGAAGAUGAAUUUGGUAACCAGCUAACCAGUCCUGCUACAACAGAAGAUCCUGCCCUCACCAGACAUGUGCCUCGCAGAGCUUCUCCUCCCAAGGCCGCCCCACUCCAGAGGACCACGACAAGAGACUCUGAGAGGCAGAGCCCCUCUCUCCUGACACUGACCACGCCACCCUGGCCGCAGAGGCGGUGCUGCUGUCUUUCUCAGGGACGUGGUAGAAUGGGCAUCCAGAGGGAUCCACUCUGAGGAUGGGCAGAGAGGGAAGGCCCGCACUGGUUCUGCCUCAGUGGCUGAGCACCUGAGGCCAGAAGAACACCUCUCAGAAGAGACUGCUUAGUGUGUCCUGGCAAAGAAAGCAACUUGACUCAACUCAACUCAACAAGACUUCCAUUCAUUCUGUUAUUCAGUGAGUCUUUACCGAGUUCCUACUAUGUGCCAAGUGCUGUGUUAAGUGCUGGGGAUGUAGAAGGCAACACACCACACUUAGUCCCUGGUGGAGGCGCUUGAGGGCUCUGUGCGUCUGUGUCUCCACUGUAUCCGUGAGGGUGGCCAUGGUGCCGGGGCGGGGGGAGGCAAAGCCCUUACUCCUGUGGUCUCACUGGGGAGACAAGAUGCACGUACAUGAAACACUCGGAGGACGAGAUGAAGUUUAAAUAAAUACAUUAUCCCCUCUGGUAACCACACGUUGAAGUGAACAUGACCAGGUUCAGGCUAUGCUGGUCUAUAAGUGCUGUGGGUGGACCUGAUGGGGCAGCCCCACUGGGUCUGGCUUACUCUCCAAGCUUCUUGGAAGGAUCUGAUUAGGUGGGCCUGACUAUCAACCUUGAAAAAAGUCAUCGGUUCUGCCAUGAGUGUAUUGGACUGGAAAAAUCUAUAUAGAUCCUACCAUCUUUCUUGGUUCCUUCUUCCCAUUUCCCCCCCUCUCCUUCUCCUUCCUCCAUCUCACUCAGAGCCAGAAAACUUCCAUGGCCAAUGACUGGAUGGCAGGUUUGGUCGAACGCCUUCUGUUUACAAAGCAGUGUUAGCUGCAGUAGGUUUAUAGAGAUAAACAACAUGGACCUUAUCCUUAAGGACCUUCAAACCAGCUUGGGGUCACAAGUUGCUAUAAUAGGAGAUAGUGAAAGAUGUAUGUGGGGACUGCAAACAACAGGAAAAUUGAGUCUCAUCCCUGGCAUAGGAUUUGGAAUAUCGAUUCUGUGUUAUUUGUGUGUGUGUGUGUGGGGGGUAUGCUGUCUACUGUUUGUUGUUUGUUUUUAUCUCAAACUUCAGAAAAAUUAUAAGAACAUUAAUGGGUAAUUUCUGUAAGCCCUUUCCCAAGAUUCACCAGUUGUUUACAUUUGAUGGAAUCAUUUGAGAACAAGUUAGAGACAUUUUGCUCUUUUACCACUAAACACUUCAGUGUGUAUUUCAAGGACAUUGUUUUUUACGUCGUCUGGUUUCCUCAUAGCUGAGCCUUCUUCCUCUCAUUUUCAGACAGUAUUGGAUCACUCUGUCCCCUACAUAAAGCUUAUUUAAUGGGAGACAACUAGCUUGAUCUUCCGCUUGACACCAUGCUGGUGGCUGGGCCAUUGGGGGCUGUUGGGUCCUAGGGUUUCCCGGGGAAUCUCUGCUGGCCUCAGCGGCUGUGCCUGAGUCGGUUUGCUACCAGGCAGCCAAGCUGCCCCCUUAGAGGCCUGGCCAGGCCUUGGCCGAACUCUCUGCUCUCUUUCCCUCCACUUCGUUCUUGACUUUGCUGCACAUUCUCCCGCCCACAGAUACGAACGUCGCAUGAUGUUGACUUUCCAGUGUCCAGCACGGCCUGGUGGAAGCGGAGUGAGCUUGUUUGGACACUUUCUCUGGGCCUUGGAGGCCAGCCCGGGCUCCUCUGCAAACCCAGGAGGCUUCCUUUCCCUGACUCGCAAGAGGAGUGAGGUGCUGCGGCACAGUCUGGCUCCAAGGCCUGUGGUCCCGCUCAGGACCGGCAGUCUUAGGCCGAGGGAACAUCUUCCAGAGUAUGGCUGAGGGACAGAAUGUCUCCACGAGAUGGGCUGGGAUGGGCAGGGUUGUGGAAAGGCCCCUGCUUGUUCUGGGAGGUGUUCAGGACGCUGAGGUUUUGGAAAUCCACGGUGGCUGUUCACGACUGCUCCCAGCUUUGGGAGGAGGAACGAAUGGGUGCCCGUUUCCUUGGGUUCAGUGGCCAAGGUGAAGCCCAGGACUGACUGCUGAUCCCUCGGCUGGGCCUGAGGAGGGUGCUGGGCUUUGAAGGGGAACACAGCCUAGAGGACUGGACCUUGGAGUCAUGAGUUGCUGUCCACAUACAGUGAGCCUUGCCUGGAGGUCUUUCAGCACUGGCCAGGACACAAACCCAAAGUGAUCUCCGGGCUGUACUCAGGGGUGCCUCUGAUGGAGCAGGUACGAGAAACCCCAGGGAACCCAUGAGACAGAACAUACUGGAGGAAUUUAACUAGGCAGAUCAAUCUCGUGCAAAGAAAGGCCAAGGGAAGGGAGAGCACAGAGCAGGCCUGAGCCGUCAAGAAACGCUCUGGGGAGGAAGGGAAGCCUCCUUUCGGCAGCCUCUCCCUCUGUUUUGCUCUUGCACACAACCACGCAGGGUCCUGUCCCAGCUCCGUUCGGUCACCUUGGACAGGUCGAUUUACGUUCUGGGGCCUGUUUCCUCCUCUGUGAAAUAGGAAGUGGGCCACCUGAGUCAUCUCCCUGGGGCAGUGAGUACUGAGAGGUAAUCCAGCGGAGUCGGUGGGUUGCAGGGGAGGUUGGAGAGCUUAUGAAAAUACAGAUGCCUGGGCCCCAGCCCAGACUUUGGGAGCCGAUUCUCUGGGGGUGAGGCCCAGGUCUAGAUAGGUUUCCUUUUGAACAAGCUCCCCAGGUGGUCUUUGGAUCAGAAGCCCGGUGACUGUGGGGUCUUUGCAUCCUCAGCCCCGGAUUAAACCGCAGGCCAACUGGAUCCACACUCAGGCCUUUAUUCCUUGAUGUAUUUUCCCUGGUGUCGGGCAGAGUGGGGUACAGGUGGGGGCACCCUGGCUUUCCCACCUGGCAGUCCGUCGGACCCUCCCAUCUGGGAGCUGAGCCGAGGUCCUGGCGGCCUGAAUGCAUCCCCUCUCUCCUUCCCUAAGAACGACCUCAAUGCCUCCCAUUACCAUCUCCAUGGCACUGGCCUCCAGGGCCCCAUGGAAAUCACGAGGCUUUCUGAGGAGUCUUGCAGACUUCAGAAAAGACCCCGGGCCCCCUGCCCACCCCGGGCUCCCUGGCCCUCUAAAUCCCGCUCGGAGCGCGGACACAGAGCUCCCUCUCUCCUCGGCGGCCUGGCCGCUCAUUCUCCCACAGAGCUGACGUUUCUCUGCGGCCCAGCUGGCUGCAGUUUUUAGAAAUAACAAUAUCCCCGGGGGGGGGAGGAGCGGCGGGGUGAAUGGGCGCCUUUGUCCGGGGCCCUGUGAAGCCCGAUUAAUUAUGCGCUGCGGAGCGCGGGGAGCUCGGCGGCCCGGCCCCCCGGCGGCUGAAAGGCCCCGGCUUGGGAGCGCGGCCGCCGGCUCUGCGCCGCCGCACAAAGGGCCGCGAAUUAGAAAACCGCCAAUUACCCCGCAUUUUGUAUUUGCCCUUGUUUCGCUGACACUGUGGACGGCCCCUCCCCGGGCGGCUGCACUUUGAGGGUUUUCCAGCCCUUUCUCGGUUACCAGGGGCGACUGGGCAGAGGGCUGGGGGGGCUUGGGGAGAGCGGGAGGCGCCAAGCGCCGGGUGGGAUCGUGUGCGGUGGGGACUUCGGGCGGGAGACAAGCGUGUGGGUAUCGCCCCCGGGGACGUGGGUCUCAAAUCUCACGCUCUUGCCAAAGCCUGAGCCUGUUCAUAAUGCAGAUCCCCGGGCCCCGUUGACUCAGGAGGACGGGAUUGCUCAGGAAGCUGUAUUUUAACAGGCAGUCAGGAUGAUUAUAUUUUUUAAAAA